rnacentral:rRNA from 1 species
UACGAGGGGGGCAAGCGUUGUUCGGAAUUAUUGGGCGUAAAGGGCGCGUAGGCGGUGCGGUAAGUCACCUGUGAAAUCUCUGGGCUCAACUCAGAGUCUGCAGGCGAAACUGCCGUGCUGGAGUAUGGGAGAGGUGCGUGGAAUUCCCGGUGUAGCGGUGAAAUGCGUAGAUAUGACAUAGAACACCAAUUGCGAAGGCAGCUUACUACACAGUAAUUGACACUGAGGCACGAAAGCGUGGGGAUCAAACAGG